rnacentral:rRNA from 1 species
AGAUUGAUCCUGGCUAGGGAUGAACGCUAGCUACAGGCUUAACACAUGCAAGUCGAGGGGCAGCAUGAUCUUAGCUUGCUAAGAUUGAUGGCGACCGGCGCACGGGUGAGUAACGCGUAUCCAACCUGGCCUUUACUCCGGGAUAGCCUUUCGAAAGAAAGAUUAAUACGGGAUGGUUUUGUGGUUCCGCAUGGGAUUAUAAAUAAAGAUUUAUCGGUAAAGGAUGGGGAUGCGUUCCAUUAGGCAGUUGGCGGGGUAACGGCCCACCAAACCAUCGAUGGAUAGGGGUUCUGAGAGGAAGGUCCCCCACAUUGGAACUGAGACACGGUCCAAACUCCUACGGGAGGCAGCAGUGAGGAAUAUUGGUCAAUGGGCGAGAGCCUGAACCAGCCAAGUAGCGUGAAGGAAGACUGCCCUAUGGGUUGUAAACUUCUUUUAUAAGGGAAUAAAGAGCGCCACGUGUGGUGUGUUGUAUGUACCUUAUGAAUAAGCAUCGGCUAAUUCCGUGCCAGCAGCCGCGGUAAUACGGAAGAUGCGAGCGUUAUCCGGAUUUAUUGGGUUUAAAGCGAGCGUAGGCGGGAAGUUAAGUCAGCGGUCAAACACGGUUGCUCAACAAUCGUUCGCCGUUGAAACUGACUUUCUUGAAUGUACUCAAGGCAGGUGGAAUUCGUGGUGUAGCGGUGAAAUGCUUAGAUAUCACGAAGAACUCCGAUAGCGAAGGCAGCCUGCUGGAGUAUGAUUGACGCUGAGGCUCGAAAGUGCGGGAAUCAAACAGGAUUAGAUACCCUGGUAGUCCGCACCGUAAACGAUGAAUGCUCGUCCUUUGCGAUACAAUGUAAGGGACCAAGCGAAAGCAUUCAGCAUUCCACCUGGGGAGUACGCCGGCAACGGUGAAACUCAAAGGAAUUGACGGGGGCCCGCACAAGCGGAGGAACAUGUGGUUUAAUUCGAAGAUACGCGAGGAACCUUACCCGGGCUUGAAUUGCAGCUGACGGGUCCAGAGAUGGACUUUCCCUUCGGGGCGGCUGUGAAGGUGCUGCAUGGUUGUCGUCAGCUCGUGCCGUGAGGUGUCGGCUUAAGUGCCAUAACGAGCGCAACCCUUGUCCAUAGUUGCCAUCGGGUAAUGCGGGGCACUCUGUGGAGACUGCCAUCGCAAGAUGUGAGGAAGGUGGGGAUGACGUCAAAUCAGCACGGCCCUUACGUCCGGGGCUACACACGUGUUACAAUGGGGGGUACAGAGGGCCGCUCGCCGGUGACGGCAUGCCAAUCUUUAAAACCCCUCUCAGUUCGGACUGGAGUCUGCAACCCGACUCCACGAAGCUGGAUUCGCUAGUAAUCGCGCAUCAGCCAUGGCGCGGUGAAUACGUUCCCGGGCCUUGUACACACCGCCCGUCAAGCCAUGAAAGCCUGUGGUACCUGAAGUCCGUGACCGUAAGGAUCGGCCUAGGGUAAAGCCGGUGAUUGGGGCUAAGUCGUAACAAGGUAACCGUAAAGCUUCACCAGCGU